rnacentral:lncRNA from 1 species
CCCAUGUCCUUGCAGAGUCUGUUUGUGGCCAUGGGUUUUCCCUCCAACUCCGUCUGCCUGGGAGAAGAGGAGGCCGGGGGGGGGGGGGGGGGGGGUGUCUGAAUCAGCAAGGCAGGCUUUACCUGGUAGCGAAAAAGCAUAGGUUCUUAGUGAAAUGAGGGAGUAGAGCUAUAUGGAUCCAGCUUUUGUGUGCCAGAGUCAGGGUGCAGCCCUGCUGCUCUUGCUGCUAGGAAUCGUUCAGUGUGAACCAGCAGAAACACAUCAUGGAAGAGGCCAGGUCAGUGAACACUGUUUCCCAGAUGCUGGCCAUUGUGAAAGUGGCCAUUGAGUUCCUGGCUGUGAAUGGCAGUGACGUGAAGGGCCUGCCAUCUGAGUAUGUCAGGCGGGAGCUGAAAAUGGAUACUGGUGCAAAGCAGUUCCGAGAUGUGUUGGUGGUGCCCAGCCCCCAGCUGAAGCAUGUCCUGUCACUGUGGCAGGUUGUGGCGGCUCGCAGGCAUGUUGGUACAGAUGAACCAGAAAAAAUGGUAAAGAUACUCCUCUGGCUGUAGUGUUAAGCCUGGAUCAUGUCAGCAACUGUCUGGUGGCCCCUACAUCAGAUUCAGC